AAAUUGAAGAGUUUGAUCAUGGCUCAGAUUGAACGCUGGCGGCAGGCCUAACACAUGCAAGUCGAACGGUAACAGGAAGCAGCUUGCUGCUUUGCUGACGAGUGGCGGACGGGUGAGUAAUGUCUGGGAAACUGCCUGAUGGAGGGGGAUAACUACUGGAAACGGUGGCUAAUACAAACGGUGGCUAAUAC
rnacentral:rRNA from 1 species